UGGGGAAUUUUGCACAAUGGGGGAAACCCUGAUGCAGCGACGCCGCGUGAUUUAGAAGGCCUUCGGGUUGUAAAAAUCUUUUUUAUGGGAUGAAAAUGACAGUACCAUAAGAAUAAGGUCCGGCUAAAUACGUGCCAGCAGCCGCGGUAAUACGUAUGGACCGAGCGUUGUCCGGAAUCAUUGGGCGUAAAGGGUACGUAGGCGGCCCAGUAAGUUAGAAGUGAAAUAAUAUAGCUCAACUAUAUAAAGCUUUUAAAACUGCUAGGCUUGAGAGAUGGAAGGGAAAGUGGAAUUCAUAGUGUAGCGGUAAAAUGCGCAGAUAUUAGGAAGAAUACCGGUGGCAAAGGCGACUUUCUGGUCAUCAUCUAACGCUGAGGUACGAAAACGUGGGUAGCAAACGGG
rnacentral:rRNA from 1 species